rnacentral:tRNA from 1 species
UCUAGGGUGGUGAAAUUGGUAGACACGUAUGACUGUUAAUCAUAUGAUAGAUAUACUGCAAUUUAUUUAUCGUGGAGGUUCGAGUCCUUCCCCUAGAGCCA